rnacentral:rRNA from 1 species
GACGAACGCUGACGGCGUGCUUAACACAUGCAAGUCGAAGGGAGUGGCGAACGGGUGAGUAACACGUGAGUAACCUGGCCUUUUCUUUGGGAUAAGCCUGGGAAACUGGGUCUAAUACUGGAUGGAUUGGGAUGGGGUAGCGGCUUGUCAGCUUGUUGGUGGGGUGAUGGCUUACCAAGGCUUUGACGGGUAGCCGGGCUGAGCGGGUGGUCGGGCACACUGAGACUGUGAUGCGGCCCAGACUCGUACGGGAGGCGGCAGUGGGGGAUAUUGCACAAUGGACGAAAGACUGAUGCAGCGACGGCGUGUGGGGGAUGAAGGCUUUCGGGUUGUAAACUCCUUUCGCCCGCGGAAUGGUAGUGGGUAAAGAAGCGCCGGCUAACUACGUGCCAGCAGCCGCGGUAAUAC